GACAGAGGGUGCAAACGUUGCUCGGAAUCACUGGGCGUAAAGGGCGUGUAGGCGGGAAGGAAAGUCAGAUGUGAAAUCCCCAGGCUCAACCUGGGAACUGCAUUUGAAACUCCCUUUCUUGAGUACCGGAGAGGAAAGUGGAAUUCCUGGUGUAGAGGUGAAAUUCGUAGAUAUCAGGAGGAACACCAGUGGCGAAGGCGGCUUUCUGGACGGUAACUGACGCCGAGACGCGAAAGCGUGGGGAGCAAACAGG
rnacentral:rRNA from 1 species